UAUUUAUUAUCUUGUUUUUGUUUUAUGUUUUAUUUUUGGUUUAUUGAAAUAUUAUUUUGUUGUUGUAUAUUUUUGAUUUAAUUUUUUUACUAUAGGUUAUUUGUACUGUAAAGGGUUGUAAUUUUUAAUGUUUUUUUGGAAGUUGAUUUUGUUUGUCGUACCUUGUGUAUCAGGGUUCAUUGAAUUUAAUUAUUUAUUUUUAUUUCCCGAUUUUAAAGGAGUUAAUGAUUUAUGUUAGUUACUGUUUCAUUAGUAUUAAUAAUAUAUGGUUGGUAGUGAAAUGUUAUUCGUCUUUAGUGGUUUCUGGUUUUUCAAGAAAUGAAUUUAAUUCAUACAUCUUAUUUAAUAUUUAUUUUUGGUUUAUUAAUUUUUAUGUGAUGUUAAGAUUAAGGGGGAUUAGCUCCUUUUUUUAUUUUUAUAAUUUGUUGGAUUUAUUUAGUUUUGUGGAUUUUAUGGUGAUUUUCUNNNNNNNNNNNNNNNNNNNNUGAAGGGCCGCGGUAUUUUGACCGUGCAAAGGUAGCAUAAUCAUUAGUUCUUUAAUUGUGAUCUGGUAUGAAUGGCUUGACGAGGCAUGAGCUGUCUUAGAGGUAUUGUUUAAUUGAAUUUGGGGUUUGAGUUAAAAUUCUUAAAUGUUUUUAUGGGACGAGAAGACCCUAUAGAGUUUGACAUUACUCUUGUUUAUAUAUUGUUUGUUUUUAUUUUGUUGAAUUGGGAGUAGUUGUUUUGUUGGGGUGAUGGGAGUAAUAUUAUUUAACUUCUCUUUAUUUUGGUAUAUUUAUGUAUAUUAUUUUUGAUCCAUUUAUUUUGAUUAUAAGAUUAAAUUACCUUAGGGAUAACAGCGUUAUCCCCCCUGAGAGUUCUUAUUGGCGGGGGGGUUUGCGACCUCGAUGUUGGAUUAAGGUGAAUUUUCGGUGCAGGAGCUGAAAUUGAUUAGGUCUGUUCGACCUUUAAAAUCUUACAUGAUCUGAGUUCAGACCGGCGUGAGCCAGGUUGGUUUCUAUCUGUAGAAUUGUUUUAUAUUUUAGUACGAGAGGACCGGGUAUUUGAAAUAAUUUCAGUUGUCAUAUUGGUUUUUGUUAAUGU
rnacentral:rRNA from 1 species